GCAAUGCUUUGUGAGCAACAGUGGCCUCUGCUGCUUCACAGGACGUCAACAUGUGCUCUUCAGAAACUAGGCACUGCUGUUCACAGUGCAGCCACAGAAUGUUCUCUUAGCAUCCAGUAACUGUCAAAGGUGUGCAACUGGACUUCUGGUCUAACAGAAGCGUGGCUGACCCAUUGACCCAUUAGCAGAGGAAAUGGACACCCAUGUGGACUUGUUAACAGAGCUCCAGCUGCUGGAUAAGGUACCCACACUAGAACGACUCCGGGCAGCUCAGAAACGUAGAGCUCAGCAGCUGAAGAAAUGGGCACAGUAUGAGAAGGAGAUGCAACACAAGAGGAGGAAACAUGAGAAAAAGCGGAAUGUUGUCAAUCGCAAGAAGGUUUCUUUUGAGGCCAGUGUUGCACUGCUGGAAGCAUCAUUAAGGAAUGACAUUGAAGAAGUCUGUUAUUUAUUGAACAACAACUUCAGUCCAGACCUGUGCAAUGAAGAUGGAUUAACUGCACUGCAUCAGUGCUGCAUAGACAACUAUGAAGAGAUAGUUAAGCUUCUCCUGAAUCAUGGGGCCAAUGUCAAUGCAAAGGACAAUGAAUUGUGGACUCCACUGCAUGCAGCAGCAACAUGUGGACACAUCAACCUGGUGAAGAUCCUGAUUCAGCAUGGGGCAGACCUGCUGGCAGUUAAUGCAGAUGGCAAUAUGCCCUAUGACCUCUGUGAAGAUGAGCCAACUCUAGAUGUGAUUGAGACCUGCAUGGCAUACCAGGGAAUCACACAAGAGAAAAUCAACGAGACACGAGCAGCUCCAGAACAGGCAAUGGUUGAUGAUAUUGCAGAUUUGAUAGCAACUGGGCAGGAACUGAACAGAACAGAUGCACAAGGUGCUACACUGUUACAUAUAGCGGCUGCCAACGGCUAUCUGCAUGCCGCAGAGAUUCUCCUAGAUCAUGGAGCAAGACUGGAUGUCAAGGACUGGGAUGGCUGGGAACCCCUCCAUGCUGCUGCCUUCUGGGGACACAUGCAGAUGGCAGAGCUGUUGGUGUCCCACGGUGCAGAUUUGAAUGUCCGGACAGCCAUGGAUGAGAUGCCAAUAGACCUCUGUGAAGAAGAGGAGUUUAGAGUUCUGCUCUUAGAACUAAAGCAUAAGCACGAUGUCAUCAUGAAAUCUCAGAUGAGACAUAAGUCAUCCUUGAGCCGGAGAACCUCCAGUACUGGAAGCAGAGGAAAAGUGGUGCGCAGGGCAAGCCUUUCUGACCGAACAAAUCUUUAUAGGAAGGAGUAUGAGAAGGAGGCCAUCAUCUGGCAGCAAAUAGAGCCUUCAGAAGAGCAAAGAACAUCUGAAUACAAUGGUGAUAUCCGAGAAGUUUGCUCCAACGAAGAGAAUAUUGAUCUGAACAAUACAGUAGAUACCUGUGCUGUUGUUCCAGAACUGCUAACCAAAGGCACACAAUGUGACUCAGACACUGUGCUGCAGAAUGGGGUCGGCUUAUCCUCCACCACUUAUCAGUACUCAAUCCCCAAUGGAGACGUUUGGAAAAUGCAUUCUGCUCUGAACAAUGAUGCAAGCCAAGCAUUGCCCUAUGAUACCCCCAUAAUCCCUGACUCUCAUCAAAUCUGGGGUGGCUACAAAGAAAGAAGCCAUCAAACCCUAUCUGAGCUGAAACGGCAGCGGGCAGCAGCCAAGCUUCUCAACCACCCCUUCAUCAGUACACACUUUGGUAGCAAUGUGGGAAGCACCACAGAAAAUGGGGGAGAAGCUAAAGAGCACCUGAUUAGCCCCAGGACUCCUACUUAUGCAUCCAAUGGGACUUCAGUUUACUAUACAGUAUCAAGUGGUGAUCCACCCCUCUUAAAAUUCAAAGCUCCCAUGGAGGAAAUGGAGGAGAAGGUGCAUGGGUGCUGCAGGAUAUCCUGAUCUAAUUUCAUUCCUCAUUGGUGAAGUAACAAAGUUGGGUGGGAAUGUGGUGCCCACUACUGAGUGGGAGAAUCUGGAUCUGUCAUCUGGCCAGGCUGUACUGGGCCUUUUCAUUUCUAGUAUCUUACUUUGCUUUUUUGCAGUUACCUUAAAAAUCAGACACAUACAAGUGGCAAAGAAAAGUCCAGGGGAAGGAAGAAAACAAAACAAAACAUACUCUUGGUCACAGGCUAUGAAAGAUCAUUAAAUCCAUUUGAUGAAAUAUCCCCAUCUUAUUUAGGAUUUCAGUUUUUGAGCUUCUUGGGUCACUAGCCUUCUGGAAAUUGCCAUUUUGAGAACAAAACCCCUCUCAGCACAUCCUUGGUGCACAACUAUCUAAAGCAUGAGUUCACUGGAGGACCAAAGAUCACCGGCAGAGAUUGGUGGGAAGAAAUAAAACAAAAUUCACAUUUUUAUGUGGGUUUUUUAAAGAUCUCCUUACACAUCAUAGUUUUUAAAAAAGAAAGAGAAUGCUGUCUCCCUCAAUUGCUCCAUAAGUUCACCAGGGCACUGUUUGGUCUCUGCAUUUCGUCAACCUAUUCUGUCUUUUUGACUUGCAUGUGUCUCUAUGGGCAGGAGAAGCUGACUCAGAUUUCAGGGUUUCCUAUUCCUGCAUGUUAUCUGAAUGGUGGUGUGGGAUGUAAUGUGGUUUUUCAAUAAAUGUUAUCAAAUAAAAGAACAUCCAUACUAUACUUAAAACAAUACAGAUGUUACCAAAGAUUCUAUGGCCCUAAUGCAGCUCUGGUCAUUCUCAGCAUCUACUAUUGCUGGCUGUAGGUUCCUAUCAGAAUCAAAGCCCCAUCUUACCAUUUCCGUGCAUCUCAUAUAAACUACAGUUGCUACAAUUAUAUUAAUUCAUCCAUGGAGCUCCCUUUCUUGAUUGUGGUGUAUGUCUAAAGAAAGUUAUAGAUUUGCUGCUCUUGUAUAAGGCAUUUAGUAAACAGAGGCAUCUAUAUUUUUUUUAAAUGCCUCUUAGUCUUACACGUUUAACUACUGUACAAUACUGUCAGAUCAGUUAUGGUAUCCUGAAAAGGUUAGUUAGUCAGUUAGUUCCUCUGACUUACUCAUGUAGUAAAACAUUGAGCCACUAUAUUCUUUUAGGUUUUUAAGCUGUAUUAAAACUCCC